rnacentral:rRNA from 1 species
GAUGAACGUUGGCGGCGUGCCUGAGAUAUGCAAGUCGAGCGAGUCCGACCUUGCGUCGGACAGCGGCGGACGGCUGAGUAACACGUAGGAAUCUACCCCUUUCUGGACCAUAGUUCGUCGAAAGACGGAGUAAUUGUCCAUGGUAUCCGACGUUUUGUCGGAUUAAAGAGAGUAACUUCUCGGAAAGGGAUGAGCCUGCGGCUUAUCAUGGUAGUUGGUAGGGUAAUGGCCUACCAAGCCUACGACGAGUAGCUGGCCUGAGAGGGUGGUCAGCCAGAGGGGGACUGAGACACGGCCCUCACUCCUACGGGAGGCAGCAUG